CAAAUACAUGACGGUACUUUUGCAAACUAUCAAGGAGGUGAUGGCUCUGUCAAAAUGUCACAUGCAGGACCCCUCCUACUACUCUACCUGUACCAAGCCCUAUAGAGGACUGAUGGCAACAGGAGUACUAUAUAACAGACCACCAGUGGAGUAAAGUAGACACUUGCAACUCUCAAGAAAUGGCAGCUAUUUUGUUGGACUCUUACACACUACAUCCUGAUAAGAGGAUCGCAAGGUGGACAUAUGCAUUGCCAUGGCUACCAGAGACAACACGUCUACUACCAUAGCAACAAUCAAGUAGCAGGACGUCAUAUCUGAGCUAGCUUUGGAGCACGAGCAACCCUUCUGCUAAAUGGGCCCGGGCCGUUGGGCAUUGAUUAUAGGAGAUUGACCUCGGGUAUCUGCCAAGGAAGCAAAUAUAGCUGUCCAGUGGCAUCUGUAUCAUGUGUGGUUGCUGGUGUGAGGGUCUAAUAGCGAUUCUCAGUUCAAGCCAAUAAUUGCUUACCCAUGUGAUGAUGCUGUGAGGAAGGUGGUUAUAUCAACAGGUGAGGCUUUUGAUUUGACUGCAUGCAUGGUGGACUUCUUUAUCACGAGUGUGCUAAUACUCCUGGUAGGUGUCUAUACAGCUGUUCCUCCACAGGAGAGACGAGAGGGAGGGUUUGAUUCAGGAGGGUAGAUUUUCAGGGUAUACUUUGCAGAAAAGAGAAUCUAUGAGCUAUACUCCGCCAUCGGUAUUGGUGGCCACGCGCCAGGGACGCGAGCAGCAGCCAGACAUUAUACUGUCGGUCGUGCUUCUAGGAAGGGUUAGUUGCUAUUCUGGAUCAAAAAGCAGAAACUAUUGUAAGGAUGUUUGUAGAGUAUGUUGUCUGUCAACAUGAAGCACCACACAAUUUUGUGGUGCUAACUUUAUUUUACAGCUGCUAUAUCGGAGGUAUAAUAUGCUGUUGUGCUACAUUUGGGUGUCACCCGCUGGCUUAUGUUAGCGGUUUAACAGUUGAGUGCUUUGGUGGCGGCCAUGAGUGGGAUGGGAAUUCGUCGUGUGUUAUGUAUGUGUCGGUACAGGAAUCUAUACUUGGGAGUCCCCUUUCUUUUUGCUUUACGGUAUAGAUACUAUAUUGCCAGUACUAUAGAAGCUCUCUUGCGUGAGUGCUCACGAUUAUUAAUUGGUAGCAGGACUGCGUGUCCAGUGCAUGGCGAACAGCCCAAGAGUGCAUGCAUUGUAGACAAACAAAAACGUCAUAAAAUGUACAAGAAGUGGUCAGCUAGCCAACCUAUUAUAGAAUUAAGUUGGCCAACACGUCAUGGUUCAAUUUUUGUGCAUUCCAGAAUGUUAGUUUUGCAGCUGCACAACUGAUGACUGAUUAUACUAGCCACUCCUACUUCUAAAACAGUGUAUAUAAAUGCAAGCAUGUGUGCAGCCACAGCAUAAUCACCAACUGAAUUUGAACAAAUCAAUCAGCAGAGUUGAAUCUCAUCAAAAACUUGUUUGAAGCAGAAUGAAGGGUCUCAUCAUCACCAGUGUUCUCAUGGUUUCUGUGGCAAUGAUGGCAACAGCUGUACCUAAUGCAGAACGACCAAUACGGAGUGCAGUCAAUUAUGCUGGUAUUCAAGAGUUGCUCAAGGAAAUAGCAGAGGCAGGGGCAAAAAAAGACGACAGUCAGAUGAGUCUAGGCCAAAAUGAUGAAUUGGAGUGCACUUGAAUGCAUUUCAAGAAUAAGUAUCGCCCAAUAUGCAAAGGAUCUAACUGUAACGUCAAACCAGCUGAUCAACUAAUGCCGAGUGCAGUCCUUCAGAAUAAAUUUGCUGGUAUUCAAGAGUUACUCAAGGCAGAGGCAGAGGCAGAGGCAGAGGCAG